UUGCAUAUUUUUUUGUGGUGGUUCGGUACGUAUGCUACGCAAGAAUCAGUGUGUGUGAUGAAGAUUGGAUCGUGAUGCUGGGAUUUUCUGGUUAUUGGCGGUUUGAUAAAGAUUGAAGCAGAAAACGGGGGAAGAGUUUUUAGCAGAGAAGUGAGGAGAAUUUUUGCAAAAAAAAUCAGAAGAACUUUCAAUCGAUUUAAAGGCCUUUAUAUAGAGUUGGAGUUUGGAUUUGGAUGAAUUUGUUAUGCAUUUCAAUUCUUCAUUGCCGUUUUUUCUUUUUAUUCAUCAUGUUGCAGCUUGCUUUUUGACGCAUUUCCAUUUUUUUGUUGCUGUCGUUUGAAGUGUUGUUGCUGUGCUUAUGCUUCCGUUUUGUGUUGCAAAAUUCUGCAUUUCUGUUCAUGUCGUUUGGCUUUACGUACAUGCGUUUCCGCUUGCUUUUCCACCUGCAAAUUGAUACUUAUUUUGUCUUAUUAUCCAUGCCCCUUGGACUUUGGGUUUGUAAUUGUGGAUUUAAAAAUGUAUGAAAUGAUU
rnacentral:lncRNA from 1 species